AGAUUUAUUGGUAAGAGAUUAGCCUGUAUUGUAUCAGCUAGUUGGUGGGGUAAUGGCUUACCAAGACUAUGACACAUAACUGGUUUGAGAGGAUGAUCAGUCACACUGGAACUGAGACACGGUCCAGACUCCUACGGGAGGCAGCAGUGGGGAAUAUUGCACAAUGGACGAAAGUCUGAUGCAGCAACGCCGCGUGGAGGAUGACACAUUUCGGUGCGUAAACUCCUUUUAUAUGAGAAGAUAAUGACGGUAUUAUAUGAAUAAGCACCGGCUAACUCCGUGCCAGCAGCCGCGGUAAUACGGGGGGUGCAAGCGUUACUCGGAAUCACUGGGCGUAAAGAGCAUGUAGGCGGAUUGAUAAGUUUGAAGUGAAAUCCUAUAGCUUAACUAUAGAACUGCUUUGAAAACUGUUAAUCUAGAAUGUGGGAGAGGUAGAUGGAAUUUCUGGUGUAGGGGUAAAAUCCGUAGAGAUCAGAAGGAAUACCGAUUGCGAAGGCGAUCUACUGGAACAUUAUUGACGCUGAGAUGCGAAAGCGUGGGGAGCAAACAGGAUUAGAUACCCUGGUAGUCCACGCCCUAAACGAUGUACAACUAGUUGUUGUGAGACUUGAUCUUGCAGUAAUGCAGUUAACACAUUAAGUGUACCGCCUGGAGA
rnacentral:rRNA from 1 species